rnacentral:rRNA from 1 species
UACGGAGGAUGCGAGCGUUAUCCGGAUUUAUUGGGUUUAAAGGGUGCGUAGGCGGGUGGCCAAGUCAGGGGUGAAAUCCCGGAGCCUAACUCCGGAACUGCCCUUGAUACUGGUUGUCUUGAAUGCGGAUGCCGUGGGAGGAAUGAGUAGUGUAGCGGUGAAAUGCAUAGAUAUUACUCAGAACACCGAUUGCGAAGGCAUCUCACGAAUCCGUGAUUGACGCUGAGGCACGAAAGCGUGGGGAUCAAAC